GUCCUAUAUGAUAAUAAAAAAAAUUUAUCAUAAUAAAAAAAAUUAGAUAUAUAAAUUUUGAGUUAAGAAUACAAAAUGGUCCUAUAUGAAGACCGUUCUCUUUGAUUUAUCAAUUUAUUUUACUUUUUUUAAGUGGCAGUUAAUUAACAUCAUUUACCCACCACAAGUUAAAAACCUAACCCAUACGACCCACGCACGUUUCCUUUGUUCUACUUACUGCUUGGCCGCCUCCUCCUUCUCCAUUCUCUCCUCCAAUUUUUUUUUUUUUUUUUUUUUUUUUUUCUCACUUUAAUUCUUCUAGAUGAACAUAAGGUAUUCAUCAAUUUAUCAGUAACCUUAAUUCACUUUUAAAUUAGAAUUACUCAAGACUGGUGUAGGUGUUGCACUUGAAUUGAAUCGUCGUUGAUCUAAUGUUUCAAUUGAUGAAGGUGCUGCACCUGAAUUGUCUUCCGACGUCGAUCUACUGGUUAUUCUUAUAAGGUAUUUGCUCAAUUGCUUCAGAUGAAACUACAAGAAUUAUCGAAUACAACACUUGCUCUCGAAGAUCAAGAAUGGCUCAUAAAUGUCAUCAAAUUAAAUUGUGUGAAUGAAUGAAAGAAGUGAACAUUCAAUGUAUUUUUACUUUUUAUUGUAUCAUUUGUUUUUAUAUCUCAGAUCUACUGCGAGAGUA